AUGAACACAUCCACUUUGGACAUGAGUUCUUCGUCAUCUUCAUCUGGCGACGAUGAACUCAUACUUGCAGCAUUCACCGAGCGCGAGGAGGAAGAGAGGAUGAACGCUCGACGCCAUGGCGGUUCCAAGCAUGGACGUCAAACAAUCAAUCGAGGAAGAGAUGCCGGAUUUGUUCUUCUGUGGGACGACUACUUCAAAGAAGUUCCUCGCUAUCCCGAACAUUUGUUUCAACGAGGAUUUAGGAUGUCCCGUAAUUUGUUCAAACGCAUAGCCGAUGGUAUACUUGAGCAUGAUUAUGAUGGUUAUUUUACUCAAAAAAGAAGUGCUUCUGGAGCUCUUGGGUUACAUCCUCUGCAAAAGAUGACCGCGGCAAUGCGGAUGCUAACAUAUGGAAUAGCAGCUGAUGGUGCUGAUGAGUACAUCCGGUCCGCUGAGGCUACUAAUUUAGAGUCUUGCAAGAAAUUUGUGAUCAAAGUUUGUGAAGUUUUUGGGGAAAGGUACCUGAGAUCUCCAAAUGAAGAAGACAUUGUUAGGUUACUUGCAAUAGGGGAGGAAAGAGGAUUUCCUGGUAUGUUAGGGAGCAUAGAUUGCAUGCACUGGGGUUGGAAAAAUUGCCCCAAAAAUGGCAUGGCAUGUUUAAAGGCCAUGUCAGCGAGCCCACUAUGA
rnacentral:rRNA from 1 species